rnacentral:rRNA from 1 species
GUGGGGAAUUUUGGACAAUGGGCGAAAGCCUGAUCCAGCAAUGCCGCGUGAAGGAUGAAGGUUCUAUGGAUUGUAAACUUCUUUUAUUUGGGAAUAAACCCUCCGACGUGUUGGAGGCUGAAGGUACCAAAUGAAUAAGCACCGGCUAACUCCGUGCCAGCAGCCGCGGUAAUACGGAGGGUGCAAGCGUUAUCCGGAAUCAUUGGGUUUAAAGGGUCCGCAGGCGGAUUUAUAAGUCAGUGGUGAAAGCCUACAGCUCAACUGUAGAACUGCCAUUGAUACUGUAAGUCUUGAAUUCGGUCGAAGUGGGCGGAAUAUGACAUGUAGCGGUGAAAUGCAUAGAUAUGUCAUAGAACACCGAUAGAGAAGGCAGCUCACUAGGCCUGAAUUGACGCUCAUGGACGAAAGCGUGGGGAGCAAACAGGAUUAGAAACCCGUGUAGUCC